UGCAGCCUCGUCAAAUUCGGUGCCACCUCUGCCAUGGUGUGCGCCGGCCCAAGGGCUGCCACAGCAUCACCCGUGCUUCAUGGGCCCCACAUCCCUGCUGUGGGAUGGUGGGGAUAAAAACAUGCCACGUACAUGG
ensembl:snoRNA